rnacentral:lncRNA from 1 species
UUAUUGGGAUAAUACCCAUUAGCAUAUUAAAGACUCAGAGAUCCUACAGAGAAAAAAAUAACAAAAAACUAAACUCAACUAUCUAGGCUGGGUGCAGUGGCUCACGCCUGUAAUUCCAGCACUUUGGGAGGCCAAGGUGGGUGCGUCGCUUGAGGUCAUGAGUUCGAGACCAGCCUGGCCAACAUGGUGAAACCCCCUGUCUCUACCAAAAAUACAAAUUUAGCUGAGCAUGGUAGCGCAUACCUGUAAUCCCAGCUACUCAGGAGGCUG